rnacentral:rRNA from 1 species
UACGGGGGGUGCAAGCGUUAUUCGGAAUCAUUGGGCGUAAAGGGCGCGUAGGCGGCCCCUUAAGUCAGAUGUGAAAGCCCUCAGCUUAACUGAGGAAGUGCAUUUGAAACUAAGGGGCUUGAGUAUGGGAGAGGGAAGCGGAAUUCCUGGUGUAGCGGUGAAAUGCGUAGAUAUCAGGAGGAACACCGGUGGCGAAGGCGGCUUCCUGGACCAAUACUGACGCUGAGGCGCGAAGGCGUGGGGAGCAAACAGGAUUAGAUACCCUGGUAGUCCACGCAGUAAACUGUGAACACUAGGUGUAGCGGGUAUUGACCCCUGCUGUGCCGAAGCUAACGCAUUAAGUGUUCCGCCUGGGAAGUACGGUCGCAAGGCUAAA